rnacentral:rRNA from 1 species
UACGUAGGGGGCAAGCGUUGUCCGGAUUUAUUGGGCGUAAAGAGCGUGUAGGCGGCCAUACAGGUCAGCUGUGAAAACUCGAGGCUCAACCUCGAGACGUCGGUUGAAACCGUAUGGCUAGAGUCCGGAAGAGGAGAGUGGAAUUCCCGGUGUAGCGGUGAAAUGCGCAGAUAUCGGGAAGAACACCGGUGGCGAAGGCAGGUCUCUGGGCCACUACUGACGCUGAGAAGCGAAAGCAUGGGGAGCGAACAGG